rnacentral:rRNA from 1 species
GCGGCCUCAGGUCGUCCGAGUUGUAGUCUAGAGAAUCGUUUUCCGCGUUGGCCUGUGUACAAGUCCCUUGGAACAGGGCGUCAUAGAGGGUGAGAAUCCCGUCCUUGACACAGAUUACCAAUGCUUUGUGAUGCGAUCUCGAAGAGUCGAGUUGUUUGGGAAUGCAGCUCAAAAUGGGUGGUAAAUUCCAUCUAAAGCUAAAUAUUGGCGAGAGACCGAUAGCGAACAAGUACCGUGAGGGAAAGAUGAAAAGCACUUUGGAAAGAGAGUUAAACAGUACGUGAAAUUGUUAAAAGGGAAACGAUUGAAGUCAGUCAUGCUUUCCGAGACUCAGCCGAUUCUGUCGGUGUACUUCUCGGUUGGCAGGCCAGCAUCAGUUUCGAUCUGUGGAAAAGGUUGGAGGGAACGUGGCAUCCUCGGAUGUGUUAUAGCCCUUCUUCGAAUACAUAGAGCGGGACUGAGGAACGCAGCGCGCCUUUUAUUAGGUUGGCCCUCGGGUACAUACGCGCUUAGGAUGCUGGCAUAAUGGCUUUAAACGACCCGU